rnacentral:rRNA from 1 species
CCUACGGGAGGCAGCAGUGGGGAAUAUUUCACAAUGGGGGAAACCCUGCUGCAGCGGCGCCGCGUGAGCGAAGAAGUAUUUCGGUAUGUAAAGCUCUAUCCGCAGGGAAGAAAAUGACGGUACCUGAGUAAGAAGCUCCGGCUAAAUACGUACCAGGAGCCGCGGUAAUACGGAUGGAGCAAGCGUUAUCCGGAUUUACUGGGCGUAAAGGGAGCGUAGGCGGCCUGCCAAGUCUGAUGUGAAAUACCGGGGCUCAACCCCGGGGCUGCCGUGGAAACUGGCAGGCUUGAGUGCCGGAGAGGCAGGCGGAAUGCCUAGUGUAGCGGUGAAAUGCGUAGAUAGUAGGAGGAACACCAGUGGCGAAGGCGGCCUGCUGGACGGUGACUGACGCUGAGGCUCGAAAGCGUGGGGAGCAAACAGGAUUAGAUACCCUUGUAGUC